rnacentral:rRNA from 1 species
AGUCUGUUCAUGGCUCAAGGCGAACGCUGGCGGCGUGCUUAACACAUGCAAGUUCGAACGAUGAAGCGGUGCUUCGCACCGUGGAUUAUCGGCGAACGGGUCGAGUAAUACGUCGAGCGACCUACCUUUUGACUCUGGGAUAAGCCUCGGGAAACUGGGUCUAAUACCGGAUACGACCAAUCUCUGCAUGGGGUCGUUGGUGGAAAGCGUUAUGGAGUGGUUUUAGAUGGGCUCACGGCCUAUCAGCUUGUUGGUGAGGUAAUGGCUUACCAAGGCGACGACGGGUAGCCGGCCUGAGAGGGUGACCGGCCACACUGGGACUGAGACACGGCCCAGACUCCUACGGGAGGCAGCAGUGGGGAAUAUUGCACAAUGGGCGCAAGCCUGAUGCAGCGACGCCGCGUGAGGGAUGACGGCCUUCGGGUUGUAAACCUCUGUUAGCAUCGAAGAAGCGAAAGUGACGGUAGGUGCAGAGAAAGCGCCGGCUAACUACGUGCCAGCAGCCGCGGUAAUACGUAGGGCGCGAGCAUUGUCCGGAAUUAUUGGGCGUAAAGAGCUUGUAGGCGGUUGGUCGCGUCUGCUGUAAAAGGCCGGGGCUUAACUCCGGUUUUGCAGUGGGUACGGGCUAACUAGAGUGCAGUAGGGGAGACUGGAAUUCCUGGUGUAGCGGUGGAAUGCACAGAUAUCAGGAGGAACACCGAUGGCGAAGGCAGGUCUCUGGGCUGUAACUGACGCUGAGAAGCGAAAGCAUGGGGAGCGAACAGGAUUAGAUACCCUGGUAGUCCAUGCCGUAAACGUUGGGCACUAGGUGUGGGGGACAUUCCACGUUUUCCGCGCCGUAGCUAACGCAUUAAGUGCCCCGCCUGGGGAGUACGGCCCGCAAGGCUAAAAACUCAAAAGGAAAUUGACGGGGGCCCGCACAAGGCGGCGGAGCAUGCGGAUUAAAUUCGAUGCAAACGCGAAGAACCUUACCAAGGCUUGACAUGCAUUAGAAUCGCGUCAGAGAUGGCGUUUCCCUUCGGGGCUGGUGUACAGGUGGUGCAUGGUUGUCGUCAGCUCGUGUCGUGAGAUGUUGGGUUAAGUCCCGCAACGAGCGCAACCCUCGUUCUAUGUUGCCAGCGGUUCGGCCGGGGACUCAUAGGAGACUGCCGGGGUCGAACUCGGAGGAAGGUGGGGAUGACGUCGAAAUCAUCAUGCCCCUUAUGUCUUGGGCUUCACGCAUGCUACGAUGGCCGGUACAGAGGGUUGCGAUACUGUGAGGUGGAGCUAAUCCCUUAAAGCCGGUCUCGAGUUUCGGAUUGGGGUUCUGCGAACACGGACCCCCGUGAAAGUUCGGAGUCGCUAGUGAAUCGCGGAUUCGGGCAAACGCUGCGGUAAAGACGUUUCCCGGGCC